CUUCUUUGCUGGCGACCGGCGCACGGGUGAGUAACACGUAUCCAACCUGCCCUUUACUCGGGGAUAGCCUUUCGAAAGAAAGAUUAAUACCCGAUAGCAUAAUGAUUCCGCAUGGUUUCAUUAUUAAAGGAUUCCGGUAAAGGAUGGGGAUGCGUUCCAUUAGGUUGUUGGUGAGGUAACGGCUCACCAAGCCUUCGAGGGAUAGGGGUUCUGAGAGGAAGGUCCCCCACAUUGGAACUGAGACACGGUCCAA
rnacentral:rRNA from 1 species